rnacentral:rRNA from 1 species
UACGUAGGAGGCGAGCGUUGUCCGGAAUCAUUGGGCGUAAAGCGCGUGUAGGCGGUUCUGUAAGUCUGCUGUGAAAGUCCAGGGCUCAACCCUGGGAUGCCGGUGGAUACUGCAGGGCUAGAGUACGGAAGAGGCGAGUGGAAUUCCCGGUGUAGCGGUGAAAUGCGCAGAUAUCAGGAGGAACACCGGUGGCGAAGGCGGUGAUCUGGGCCGACACUGACGCUGUAGAGCGAAAGCGUGGGGAGCGAACAGGA